GUUUGUAAAGGAUAUUAGUUCAUCCAUUGGUCUUAGGAACCAAAGAUUCUUGGUGCAAGUCCAAGUAUAAACU
rnacentral:tRNA from 1 species